UCGGAACCCGCCGGCGGCUCCGCCAGCGGAGCGACCCUUUAAGUGUUUGAAGGACAGCUCCAUUAGCUUGUCAACGUCCUGGCUGCGCAUUGGCGGGAGGGCUCGUGCUGUGAUUGGUGCUCAUCUCGGGGAAGUGCGGACCUGGCCGGCACGGUUGCUAUGACGGCAGCUGGCAGAGUCUCCGCCUUCCCGGGCGCCGCCAUCUUGUUGUUGAUUGGAACGGAUCAGGAGCGGGCGAGGGGGCGCCAGGACCGAGCCGGAACCGGGGGUCCCAGCGCCGCGUCCCCCGGGCGGCAGGGAGAGCCCGUCCUGGACCCAGGAGAUGCAUCCCAGAUUCCGAGGUCAGGGUGUCCAACCUGUGGCCCUCAAUGUGACUGUACAGGGCUGCACCCUGUGACGUUUACAGUGAAGGGUUUGGAUCUGCUUCCAGUCACUGUGGCGGGCACUGCCUCCCCCCGCAGCACAAGUUACAACCCCUGCCUUGAGCAGCUUUGCUCUGAACCAAAAUACUGUGAGUAGCUGUUGUCCUUUCCCUGCUGCAGCUGUUUAGUAGCUCCCCUGCUGGCUUCCUGCUGCAUUACAGGAGCAAUGAAAGUGUACCUAUGGCUGUUCAUUGUUACCUCCCUGCUGGGCUGUGGGAACCUCAGCAAGUGGGAAAGGCGUUUGACUAACUGCGCCUAAGACUGGGGAGCCUCCCCCACACAGCCAAGGAGAUGGGAAAAAUCAACCAUCCAUUACAAGCUUCCUGGUUCUCUGCCCUGGCCCAGGCUCAUGUGCCAGCUGUCUGUGGUCCCAAGAGAUCACUUGCCAGUUAGGGAUAGCUGGAGGGCACCAGACACGGCCCCUCCCACUCUCAAUAUGCCCUUGUCCUGUCCCCACCCUAACACAGUGCUACACUGGGGCAGAGGGCAGGAAGGCAUAAGAGCUGAAUACUCUGGCUCUGCACCUACUGGAGACUCCCUCCACCAGGCGGCUUCUGCUCUCUUUGCACAACCCAAGGGGCAUUGAGCGAAUAGACUGGGCCAAAGGAUCUGCUUCAAAGUAUCAGUGUGGACGCUUGGCCUCCUUGACAUAAGUUAGACUCUCAUGCUGAUAGGGCUGGUGCCAAAAGCCCACCUCAGGCACCUGGCAUGUCUCUAACCCAUCUGACCUAGAAGCAGAACUUGGUGCUGUACCCAUUUGGAGACCGGGACAUGCUAUUACACUCUACAGGUCAGGGAGCAGAGCUUGGCAGCCUUUCCCCAUUACUCACAAAUAAGGAGAGGAGAUUUGGUAUGUUAAAUUUGUAGGGAAACCUAUCACCAAACCCAUGUGUCCAAAACUUGGGUCAGGCCUCUCAGAAUUAUGAGACUAGCUUAAAAUUCAGGAUCUUACAGAUACGGUGGGGGCUUUGUUUGCAUCUGAACCCCUCAGCUACCCUUGGCACACUUGUAAACCUUUUCUCCUCCAGCUGAGAUUCCUCUAGAAUCGCAUGAACCCUAGAGCUGGGUCACUAAAACUUCAAAUGGUAUGAUAGUCC
rnacentral:lncRNA from 1 species